rnacentral:rRNA from 1 species
AUUGAACGCUGGCGGCAGGCCUAACACAUGCAAGUCGAGCGGAUGAAGGGAGCUUGCUCCUGGAUUCAGCGGCGGACGGGUGAGUAAUGCCUAGGAAUCUGCCUGGUAGUGGGGGAUAACGUCCGGAAACGGGCGCUAAUACCGCAUACGUCCUGAGGGAGAAAGUGGGGGAUCUUCGGACCUCACGCUAUCAGAUGAGCCUAGGUCGGAUUAGCUAGUUGGUGGGGUAAAGGCCUACCAAGGCGACGAUCCGUAACUGGUCUGAGAGGAUGAUCAGUCACACUGGAACUGAGAAACGGUCCAGACUCCUACGGGAGGCAGCAGUGGGGAAUAUUGGACAAUGGGCGAAAGCCUGAUCCAGCCAUGCCGCGUGUGUGAAGAAGGUCUUCGGAUUGUAAAGCACUUUAAGUUGGGAGGAAGGGCAGUAAGUUAAUACCUUGCUGUUUUGACGUUACCAACAGAAUAAGCACCGGCUAACUUCGUG